GUUUUUCACUAUUGCAGGGGUUCCCAACCUUUUCUAUACCCUGUGCCCCUAGAACGCUUCUGAUAUAUUCUUGCAC